GACAAAUUACAAAAGUGGAGAGCACCAAGAUGAUGCGCAGGAGAAUUUAAACAGGGUCAAUAAAAGACAUCAAGAUAAUGGUCUUGAAUCCCUGCCCAACUGCAAUCUCUUUUAAGAUUUUCAGCUUGAGUCAACUCAGAACUGAAAAGAAUGCUAGAUUUUAAGUUCAGGAGUGAGUUCCCAUGUCUCCUUUCAUUACUUCUAAUUUUAAGUUCCUCUGGCUGGAAGCCUGCUCUUACAAAAUACUGCUAAGAACAAGCUUUGAAACAGCACAUACUAUCUCAGGUGUAAAAAGAUCUAUUAAAAUAUAUUUAUUGAUGUGGCUCUGAAAUCAAAGUCAAAAGCUACCGUGGGCUUCUUGUCUUAAAAUCUCAUUGUGAGAUUUCGCCUUCUCAACUUAUUUUCAGAUGUGAAAGAUCAGGGGCUGAGGAGUGUUUGGGGGGUUAAAAUCACAGUUCUUAUAACGCCCUGAAAUAUGACAAUCCUAAAUCACAGCAAAGUAUAACAUUAACUUGUGUUCGGAAUAUUACUGACAUUUUAAAUUAAACUUCACAAUUUUUGCCAUUUCCAAAAACCACUUUCUUUCCAGUAUAGCUUAUUUGUACCAUUUCUAUUAAAAAAACACAAAUCGCACACAGUACUCUAAAAAUGAAGCAUUCUAACUGAGCACUAUGAAAGGUGUUCCAACCAGCCUUUCUCUCCUCCUUUUUCCUGCUAGCACAAACAGCUCCUUCAAAAGGUACUGACUUCCAUCAACCUAACCUGCCAGUUAUGUAAAAAAAGUUCCUCAGGCAAAAGACCCAACUCCUCAAAUACAACCAAAACUGCCUGGCUCAUUCAGAAACCAGAACCGAGUGUCUACUACUAAGAGAAAGCCCUUCUCUUCCUCCUUAAACGUAGGAACACAAGAAAAACACAAGCUUGAAUGCAGAGCCAUAUUAAUUUUUCUGUGUUACGCUGUCCAAUUCAAUUCUAGUUCAAGCUAUUCUGUGGGUCUCACACACCAGUUCCGUAAAGCUCUUGGGAUGCAGAAGAAUUCCUUUCCUUGUUUAUUAAUUAUUAGUGUCUCAACAAUCAAUCCUGUGCUGCCUGCAUCGCUGUGACGGGAAAACACUGUCAUGAAUUUGGAAUGUCUGCCUCAUUAAUGCCAGUUAAUGCUGCUACACACAGCAGCAGUUUGAAAACAAGGAAAAGAGCAACAACAAAACAAAAGUAUUUGAACUACUGAACGUACUUAGCUUUGACUAUUAGAGGUAGAGCAGUCAUACUGACAGAGCUCUUCAUUAAAAAGAAGUCUAUUAAAAAAAUAAGCAAACAAAUGUAGUUGAAAAGGUACUGUGACAGACACCCACUCAGAACGCUAAGACGCUGCUCUUACAUUAAUAACUCCUUGCAGGCAGCUGAUAGUGACCAGUGCAUCAGCACACCUUAGUGCCCACCACUGGCUGCUUCAGCUGCCCCACUGACUGUGGAGCACACCUACUGCACUCAGGGAAAGAAAGAAAAGCUUAUUCUUUUUUUUGCAUUCUAUUAGGAGAUGGAUCUAGCUAUUUCCCACAAAUUAGCGUGGCCAAAUAGUACCUACUCUACUGCUUCCCCAGACAACGUGAACCUUGUCCUUAAACCUUACAUUUUUACUCCUUUGCUACUAGUGAAAGAGAAACCAGCUAACAUCCAUGAGAACCUGCAAUGAGACAGAAAUUAUCACAUAUCAAUCUCCCUAAAGCAUCACACAACUUGAUACAAAAACACAAGUACUCAGUGCUUAUUGCACGACAAGUUCCAAAAAAACUGUUUAAUUUUUCCAUAAGAAAAUUAUUUGCAGGGUCUUUUUACACUGAAAGACAACUACAGAGUAAAAUUGCUUUCAGAAGGCAAAAAAAAAUUGUACAGACCGAGUUGCAAUAGGGAUUUUAUUCUCAUUAUUUGGAAAUCUAAACCACCUAAGUACAAACUUUUUCCAGACCAGUGCUCUGCAUAGCGUCCUUCAGGAAUUUCUUGAUGAACAAUGCUUUGUUUUAGAAUAUUUUGGAGUAUGGGUGGCUAGUUACAGCACUGGCAUAUUAGCAUAAUUAUUCACAGCUCUGAAAGGAUAAAGUAAAAGCCUAUCCCAUAUUUCAGCCAGCAUUCACUGAUGUGUUUUACUCAGCAUGACUACAGCAAGGAAGCCCAAGCAGCGCACAGAAUGGGAGUGGCACAUUUUAUCAGAUUAGCAGUGUAAGUCCUCUGUAGUAUUUUCAGUAGCAGCCAAAAAUAAUAAAAAUGUCCACUGCAUACAAAUGAUAAGACGGCACAGGAAUUAGGCAAGGUUAAAAAAGACUCACAAAUACUCUUUACCACGACCUUUUAUUUCAGUAGGAAGAGAAUGCAAUUUUGAGGAGAGCGUUCUGUGUGAUACAGCAGUGAAAGAGGCUGAAGCCCCCACAAACUCAUACUAAGAGUAUCUGCUGAUGGAGCAAGUAGAAGCAUUUGUACACACCAGCAUACUGCAACAGCCUGAACACACAAUGGCUCACUUUAGGCAUUUUUUUUUUAACCAGAUAAAUCUCCUGCAGUGACAAAUGGUAUUUAAAUCCUGCACUGUAACUUAGGCUGGUUUACCUAAUACAGCUGCAAAUUAACUUCAGGAUCGACUGAGGAUGACCUGAUCACUUACAAUUUCGAAUACAUCCCUAACACUACGAUCUCUCAGGCUUUCCUCCACGUUUGCCACAGCCAGGGCAGCUGAGCUAAGGUCUGACGACGUUCUGUGAGAGCAGCUUGUAGACAUACCCCACGUAGGGGUGACCGUGCAGGUCCUGACAGCCGUGGGGCCGAAGCAGCAUCGCCCAGGGCUCGGUGCGCCCCGCAGCCCUGCCCGGCAGGAGCGGGGGACCCGCAAUGACCCGGCCCCUCGCAGCACGGGCUGCGGGACGCAGAGCUCUCCGCCAAGGUCACCCGGCUUUGAGUCCUCUUUGUUUAAAAGGAGCGGAAUACGAAACGCUAACACCAGGCGACGGGGCAGCGAGAAUCACACCGCUCCAUCGCCGCGCAGCUUCGCCGGGCUGCGUCGGGAGCGGGAAGGCACUCGCUUUCAGCCAGCAGCCUUCACGCCAAACGAAACGAAGCGCCUGUGCUCGGCCGGAGAGCCCGAAACGCCCGAGCCGCGUUACCGUGUGUCACCCUCCGCAGGCUCUCCCCGCCGGCCGCCCCGACCGGCCCCGCGAGUUCGAACAGGGCAAUGUAACUGUACAAACAGAAAUGUUACACAGGAAAAGGAAUGAGCAGCAGAACUUUCAGAAGACGAAUUGAAACCAGCAGACCACAAAACGUGACAUGAUCUUUGGGGCAGGUUAUCCUUCUCGUCUUAGUACUACCGUAUUUUCCUCUUCCAUACUUAACAAAUGAGGAAUGCUUCAGCAAAGUAAGGGCAAGAGACUAUGGCCAAUUCACACAAGGAAAACCUCACACCACCUACUUUCAGGCAUCAUUUCAAGUGCUCUGAAAUUACUCCCAUUAUUCCCUGAAAAGCUUCUCCCUUCUGAUUACAGUCUAAAGGGGGAUUUGGUCCCAUGCAACCAUGCUGAAUUUGUAUGAAUAAAAUAGUGCAUAUAUACUCUAAAAGGUAACAAGAGAACUACAUAGACUGCUCCAAAAGUAAUACCUCUUAUUUAUUUCCAUGGAAACUACAACAGAUACAAAGAGCACAAUAACACUAUUUUAUAUUGUCAGCUACCAAACACUGUUUUUCAACAUAGCCACCACAAUUAGCUGUGCAUUUCUGCCAGCAAUGAACAAGAGUUUGCAUGCCAUGCUCAUAAAAAUCUGCAUGGCUGUCUGGAACAUGGCUUGUCUUUCAUGUAACUGUUGCCAUCGCUGAAACGUACCACUCACUGUCUCACUGUGCUCACAUCUACUGUUUGGUUCUCCAUCAACAUUCACCAAGCAUCGAUCAAUGUCAAUGAGUGCAAUUUUUUCCUUAUGGAGGAAUUCAGUGACACACCUUUGCUUCAUACGUGCUUCCAGGUCAGAUGCCACUCUGUCCAAUUGCCCCUCUGCAGCCAUCUGUCACACAGCAACAAAAGGUAAUAGAAUAUUGGCAGUAAGGUUUAACCUCUACUGGCAUACCACCAACAUCCGCCCCUGAUGUCAUGGGCUGACAUCAUAAAAUAGGAGGCAUUACUUUUGGAGCAGCCCUCAUAGAAGCCACAGACUACACUGCAGACCUGUGCUCCUUCCAUUGGACCAAUUUAGCUAUUUUUAUAUAUAUGAACUUCUCUGGCAUUGUAUUUGGAGCAACGCUGAGUUAAAGAACAUUUGAAAUCCAAGUCUAUAUAGAGUCAAUUUAGGUCUCCCAAGAAAGAAUGAUUUUGCUCUUACAGAGUCCAUCAUGCAACAUGCUACAUUAUCAGAUGGCUUUUGCCCUCAGGGUUCGUGUUUCAUUUCUGCUAUAUGUGAAUAAUUUAAGUGCUUUCAGAAUCAUAUAGAGUUACAUGCUUAAAAAAAAGGAAAGAAUCCAGACCAUUUCCCUAUAUUUGAAGGACCAUUCAAAAAAGACAAAGCAUAUCUAUGCACUGUGUGGUUUAACAACAGCUCUUCAUUGUUGUGUGGUAUCUGUAAUCAGAUUGUGAAGCAAACUCUUACAAGUGACUCCAGUAUGAGUCACUGUAACAAAAAAAAACCACACUACUUCAGAACAUUGAAAAGGAUGAAAUUUAAUCUGCAUACACAAACGUGCAGUUUCCCUAUAUACUGAUACUAUCUGAUACACAACAGUAUCAAAUGAGUGGAAAUAUCUACUAGAACAGCUUCCAGCAGUGCAAGCUUCCAACAAGUGCCUGAGCAAGAGAAUACACGCCACUUUUUUUUUUUUUUUUAAAUAAACAGCUACCAAAAUAAAAUACUAUCAACACUUGUUUUCAGUAUAUACCUGGAAUGUUACUCCUAGGGAUUGGGAUUACACUGGAUAUGGAGCUUAAAUAAAAAUAAUAAUUUUACACAAACUACAUGUCCGCUCACUCAUCUCUCCAACUCAAUUUUCUGUGUAGCCUUAGCACUGUGCCCUUUCAAAGCAACCGCCAGCAACUUUUUCUUCUGAGAUUUCACACUAGUGCUGAUGCGUUAGUGUUGCAGAAAAUAACUUAUCUUUCCUAUCCCAUUUCAGAUUACAUGCUCUUCAGUCUGGCUACUAGCAAGAAAACUGUUCCCUCGUUCUGAGCAAGACACGGAAAAGAAGAAAGUAUUCUUAAGUCACAUCAGCUUCAUGGUGACAGUUCUGAAAUGGCCAAUGCAUCAGGUUAAUCUUAGGAUAUAGGAAAGGAGUCAAAGGAUUUUGAUAUUUUAUCUCGCAAGUUCUCUAUUCAGUUGCAAAUAAGACCUCAAAUACUUGCAUUUUUCAGGACAACAUAAGAAUGACCCAGGAAUGCACAUAAACUCAUAUUAUUAUGUUCAGAUACUCAGGUGAGCAUACAUCAACUCUUUUUGUUUGCAAACAGCUGUCUAUGUAGGUAAGUAUGUGCAGACUUGUAUUUAUGUGUGUGACCUUAGCACAUGCACCAAACCAGCGUGAGAAACGGCAUUUCACUUGAAGCAUUUAACCGUAUUCCGCUUUCACGUCCCCUUUAAAAUCCUCUCACUAAUUUCUAUACUGCUUCCUCACCAAGGUUUGUGCAUUUCUGAGGGUCUCUCACUUUUUCAAGUUCUAUACUUGUCUGUCCUUUGAAAUGAUAGAAAAGCAAGGCAAGAAGUCUACUGCACUAAAACUUCUUCAGGUGAUUUUCUACAUCCAUAUUUGCUGGUCUGAUCUCUGAAAUUACCCUUUCAGCAGUUACUGGUGACAGUUUCUUACAUAUUUUAUACAAGUUUCUUUUUCACAUCAUCUUUCACUAUCAUUCUGUAUAUAUAUAUAUAUAUAAACAAAAAACUACACCAACAUAUCAAUUUUUUUGAAUAUCAUCAUCUUUGUAGCUGAAGAUUUCAUUUUGAGAAGAGAUUGUGAUUUUUUUUAAAAUCACUUGCUAGUAUAAAUAUAAUACAUAAAGGAAGGUAACAUAGCUGCAUAGUCUAGCUUAAAUUGAUGGCUAUUUCCAGGCUUCAGCGCUCAUGACACUACUUGCACUGUCUUGCUAGAGAGGCAGCUUCACAACACAGUAAAACAAAACGACUACCUAAAAAUGUCUAAUAGAAUCACGUAGAUAACUGAGGUAUCCUCAGAGAGAGGGGGAGAAUGAGACUAUAAAGCUUGAAAUAUUUUCCUGAUCUUUCUUCAGAAAGACACUUCAGGAAAAAGUACCAGUUUGGUGUGGUGCUUUUUUGCUUUUUUUAAAAUCCUUACAUCUGUACCCUCCAAGUUUCCAAUAACACACACAGUAAUUCCUUUCACUCUGCAAAGCCAAAGAACAUCAGCUUUGUUUGUUAUUGCUAGUGAGCAUGGAAAGAGUUGGCCUUUCACAACCCUCAUCUCUCCCCCCUGGCCCCAUUCUUUAAUUUAAGAUGAAGCUUGAAAUGUAUAAACUGGAGGAGAAACAAAGAAAACCUCUGGAUUAGGUUUCUUGGGAGCUUGGUUCUGUUUAAUUAAAAAAUAACAUAUUGAAGUCUAGCAAAGCCUCCUCAAUUAGUUUCACAUUCUAGCAACACAAGUUCCACUCACCCGUUAAGAUAUUUAUUCACAAUAUUCAGAGGCCAAGAUAUCUGCUUUUAAAGAUUUAUCUCCAGCUUUACUAUACAGUAGUGUUGUGCAAAGUGUUUCUGCGAUGCAGCAUUCAAAAGUAUGCACUGGUAUUUCUAUACGUAAUUCUAUUUUCAUUCCAAGGUUACUACAUUGAAAAAAAACUUACUGGCUACACAAAGAUGCAGGUGUUUAAGCACCGUGAGACGUACAAAUGCCAGCUACAUGCUGGGUUCUUACUUAACAACAAAUGAGAAUGAGCUUCCACUUAUGUACCAGGACUUCUGAGAAGUUGCUCUCCCUGGCCUUGAACUUUUGAGGGUAAGAAGAGCUACAUACUUUGCCUUCAAUAGCAAGCACUUUCCCACUUAUUUGUGGCCUCUUGCAUUUAAAACUAAUGUUGUGCUCUGUGAGUUUAUAUUCCAUCUCAUGUUAAGUACCAGGGUAGGCUACAAAAUCACUAUUUUCAAUUAAGACAGACAAACUUUAUGAUCCCACUAAAUAGUUUUAAACUUAGCGUAUUUCCCCUAGAACUCAGCACUAGCAUUAAAAUGGACCUUUUAGUAGAGAAUAGCAAGUUGACAUUGUAACAGCAAUAACCAACAAAGCUUAUCCUGUUAUCUACCUAGUAUCUUUAUUCCAGAAAGCCAAAUACUUAUCCGCAAACAUGACGUUACAGUUAAGAUCCGUCAAGCUUCCAAGUGUUUUGACUAAGAUAGUUUGAGAGGAAUUUCAAAGUGAUAGAACUAAAAUGAAGGCUUUAAAACUAAAGGGGAAGAGGAAAAAAAAUCCAGCAAAGCCCGCUUCCUUUCAAUAGAACACUUUCCAGUUUGCCAUGACUGUUAAACUGAUACUCAAAGCCUAUUAUUUUCUAUCAGCUUCGUGCUCCUAAUACGUAUUUUUGUAACACAAGGGAAGAGGUUCCAGGAGCAUUAAAAGAAGCACUCAGGCACCAGGACUGUUUGCUACAUUAUGAUACGUGGGUGGGUCAUAUUACAUUCUUUUAUUAUUAAAAUACUCAGGAAUAAUCCUUCUGCUGUAGGAUUAAAUUACCCUUUCAUUUACUAUGGAUGGAUGCUAUAACCCUUGCUUUAUCUGUUUAAAUAUAAUAUUAGAUUUGUUUGAGGCACGUAAUUUUCAAGUUAGGACAAGAGCAACGCGCUCCUUCUACAGUAACACAGCCUACUAGAACUGCUGAACGAUCUCUUCAGUACCUUUAUCUAGGUUUCUUGUUGAAAAAAAAUCUUAGGUUUUAUAAGUGACAAAACAGGUUCCCUUUGUUUACUUAUUUUUAUAUAAUUUCACAAAAACUAGAUUCUCUUUACACGCAAUUUCAGUAAAAUCAAAAUGUUUUGAGUUGGAUUAGAAAGGAAGAAAAAACAGCAGCGUAUUAAGGGAGCUUCCAAGUUUUGCAGGUGUAAUUCUUAAGUGGAAAAAUUACAGUUACACUUAUUUCUAGAGAUAGCAACAAGAGUACGCACAGAAUCAUAGAAUGGAUUGGGUUGGAAGGGACCUCAAAUAUCACAUAGUUCUAACCUCUGGAACCAUGAAGCUAACAUAAGUUAGAUUCAGAUCAAUGAGGACAGCACUGCAGUUGUAUUUCCUUGUUUUUAAGGACUGAACUCAGCCAGACCAUAACAGAUCUAAAUCCUGCCUUUCAGGAUGACACGCAGAAAUGAGCCCAGAGGAAGACAAGGCAGGAAAUGACUCACUCACACCCUCGGACUUCUACUGUGCAACAGAAAAAAUGUACCAGUUUAUAGCUUAGUACACUUUAAAGUGCGAAUAUAAUCUAACAGCAUCCUCUGCACCUCUAACAUCUUCAGCCAUCAGUCACUGUGAUGUAUCCAGCGAUCAAUCUGCAGGCAAGCUCAGCAUGAGUAGUAACUCAAAGCAGCAGAUCAAGCUCCUGCAGAAAUUGGUUCAUACCAUCCACUUCCUGUUCAGAAGACUCCGAACAGACUAUCUGAGCAUAGAGAAAAUGGGUGAGAUAAGCAUUUAGAAAAGCUACGUAUUUUUAGACAACUGUCACACAUCAGCAGUGGGCAAGAGGAAGCGGGACAUGCGGUGGCAGCCGUGCACGUGGCACACAGCACGCAUCUGGAAUGCUCCUGCACCUGGAGCUGCACAGAACCUCCACACAGCAGAAGUCAGUGCUCUCAGCGCACUGGUUUUUUUUGGUUGUUGUUUGUUCUUUUUUUUCUGGUGCCCAGAUAAAACGCACUGCUCUCAGCACCAGCUCUUGCCACUGUCUGGCUAAGGCAUGAGUUGGGAGUAAUUUCUUUCAGUUAUUCCUGCAAGGUGUCAUUGCUCUUUUCCACUUAAUAGAUGAAAGCCAGAAAACUGAUUCUGAGACAAGUGACUUUGUAAAUCAGUUAGGAUUACAGCUUUAAAAAAGUCAAAUUGAGAUUAACUUGAAUGAUACAUCUCACUCAAAUCAGCUUAUACAAGUUUUUCUUCCAGUACUGUUACGAGCUUAACAAUUCACUCCACAAAAAAACAAAGCAUCACCUACAUCCCAAACACUGCACACAGCCUCUUUGAAGAGCUCGCUUUCACUUUAUCAUAUCCUGCACAGUGAUCUGCUUAAGCGCAACUGAUUUUGAAUAACAGGAAGAUUGGUUCCACCUGUAGUCACAAUGUGAUUAUCAUAGGAAACCACAGCUGGUAAAUCCUGCUGAUUUCUUUUCUUUUAGUACAUCGCUCCAAAAAGAAAGUCCGUUGUGUCUCCAGCUGAAUAUAUCCCAGUUGGAAAAUUUUACUCUUGGUACCAAAAAAUAAUAGGGUUAUAAUUAUUUUUUUCCCCUCUCAGAAACAAAAUAAUAAACACAUGAACGACUGAAAAAAUCUGAACAGUCUGGGUAUGGAAGUACUGCCAACUUGUGCAAUAGAAACAGUGUCGUAUUAAUGUGAUCAUCAUGGCCAAGAAAGCUGCCUCAAGUGCCUUAGAUGGAGCAGCAAGGGCAAAACAAAUGAGGUGUAUGGAGAAGGCUGGCUGCAAAGCCCCACUGCUGCCACUCUGCCUACUACAUGGCUGCAGCCUGCUCCCGGAGCCCUGCGCUGACAAACUUGUUAUCCACACUUACACAUAAACCACUGUAGUUUUCCACUGCCUUGGAGGCAGGCGCACUGUUUUCAUCAUCGAUGGCCUCACUCACUCCCCAGUGGUUUUGAAUCCUUACCCAUACAGGGAAAGAAAUGAAGUCACCUCUUCCCGUGAAAGAAAGUACCACGGCUUCCAAAACAGAAACCCUUCUGAGUUGGGAAAGAUGACAAUACUGAAGUUAAAAAGCAUAGCUACUUUUUAUACUUAAGAAACUUCCAUUAAAACCUCGAAUAUGGAAUGCCUCCAGGCAGCAAAUGAGUUCAUAAAAUAUUCAAACCUGAAUGUAUGAGUAAAGACUGUUACUUGAAAGGCCUCACGUGAUACAUGUGCUGGAUUUUACUGGUACUGAUACUCAAAAUAACAGAAUUCCAUUGAGCUCUUAGUGGAGUUUCCAUGGUUAAAAUUAAAUUGAACUGUUUUCACAGGGGCACAGAACGUUUGGAGACAAAUAUUACGCACCAAUUACAAAAUGGAUUUUCAUAUUACACGAUGAGAUAAUACACUAUUGAGAUAAAUAAUUUCAUUUAAACUGCGCCUUUGAGUAAGACAGCUGCAACAUAUCUGAGGACACAGCUAAAAGGUGACUUUCCUGAAGACUGAUCACAUGAGGAGACAAUGUUACACAGAGAUUAAACAAUCUCAUUUUUGAGUUUGUUAGUGAAUUCUCUUAACAAAGAAAACCACUUCAAAAAACCUGCAAACAUACAACAUUUAACAUCUGCUAUUUCCACCACUGCUGAAAAGCGUUCCUGAAAGAAGUAAUGGCCACAAAGUUCAGCCCUGUAGUCUAUUUAGAAGGGAGGAUAAUUUUAUUAUUAUUCACAGUGAAGUACUGUCAUCUGACUUCCAGUGCAUUCUGACACAACAACUGCAAAAGCAUCUGGCUUAACCAGUUCUGCUCAAGCAGGAUUCCGGAGGAUAAUAGAUACAAGAAAUUAAUUAUGCAAACCUCCAUUGUAAAUGCACUUACAAUUUCCCAGAUGAGAUUACUUGUUCUGGCAGCUUUUAAGCUUUAAAAUACUUACUUGGAUAAAAUCUACACAAAACUUCGCAGUGACGAUGCAAAGCAACCCAAUCUUUGUCUAAGACAAUGCUGAUUCCUUAUCAAAACAGUAAUAUUCGUGUAUAUUGUCAGCAUUCACAAGUAGGCCAAACACCAACUUAAAUGGAACGAUUUUAAUUCCCACAUCAUCAAAAUCGAGUAUGAUCCUAUGUCUUCCACUCACUAGCCAAAUAAGUGAGUGUUCUUAGAGGAGUAUUUGUUAAGACUUGAGAAGAGGCCUACGUGCACAAAAUCUGUCUGACCAUUCUUUCGGUCAGAAGUCAGAGGAAAACAAAAGGCUACUUCUUACAGACAGCUCCUAGAUCAGCCACCUGGAGCUGCAGUAUAACGAUGUUCAGCUUGUGAACUGCCACUAUAGUUUGAGAGUCUGGAGUUUUCAUCAUUUAUUUACUUCAGAAGUAGAAGGCAAUAAGAGCUAGAAGUUCUACAAAUGGCAUUUCAGCACUUCACAGUUCAGUUAGGUUUUUUUCCUGUACUUCACACACACACACACACACACACACACACAAAUCUUACAACUUCUUUCUUACACAUUUCUUUCAAACCCACAUGAAAUUAUUAUGGCUAAAGUAUGAGAACAAUGUACAGUAAGAAUGCUUUCAAAGACUGUUCCCUUUAAACAAGCCUAAAAACUGUACACACAAACACAAUCCUUAUCUUUCAAAAGACUACCUAAGUUUGCAGUUAGCUUAGUUCAUCUCAUUCUGGGAAAAGAAAAAAAAAAUCACCCUUCAUCCAUAUAAUGAAGUUAUCAAAAGAUGAAACCAUGAACAUACCAAUGAAGUCACAAGCUCUAAUUAGCUGACCUGGCACAAAGGAUUCCUUUGAUGUCUGUCCAGAAGCAAAAGAAGCUGACUUGAGAAACGGCUGCUCCAUGACUCAGUUACCACAGCUCCUGCGCACAAAGAGCUUCGUACCAAGCAAGUAUGAUCAGAUUGAUCUCCCCAGAUAUGUUAAACCUGAGGACUGAUAACCACAGUUACUACUACAGUUAGUGAUUUUGUGGCAUCUUAGAUAAUCCAAAGGACUUUAAAUAGUCUCAAUAAGUUACAUACCACUUGAGUUGUUCUUUUUUUGGUGUUUCUUUUUUUUAUUUUGUUGGCUUUACUUUUUGUUGGCUUUUUUUUGGUCAAAUGGGAAAUUACAGUUAAAAAAAUAUGAUGAAGAAUUUAAGAUCUUUACUCAGUCCAAGAUUUUGCAACAGGAACACUACACUCCGUAGCCAUACAGACUGAGUCCUAAAUCUGUGGGUUUCUGAGUACUUCACAACAUAGACAACAACACUGAAUUUCAAGGACAAGGACUCCAUGGUAUACGUAUUUUUUUCCUUGAAAAGAAUCAGUAAGUCAAGUCUGAGCAGCCAAACACUGGAACGGUUUUUACUCAAGAAACAAGUAUUUCAGGUACCCAGUUAAUGUCCAGCACCAAUACAGGUGAGAACUGGAACAGCAAGAACAGGCUGGAGAGAAAGGCACAUUCUUCCCUUCCACCCUUUCCCAAGCUUGAGGAAUCUCAAGUAACAGAACCUCUGAACCCUGUCAAUUUUCUGCCACUAGUAAAUUGGUAUGAGACCCUUUAACAGAGCACUAAGUAUCUCUCCAGUACAAAACCAGACAAAUACCCAAGAGACAGAGCAAUGAGAAGCUGGUUACAAGUGCAUGCCAACACACACUUCUUUUGUACAUCAUCUCAGCUGUGCAUUAAGAAGCAAGUCUGCCAGAGAGCUAUGAAUGAAAUGGGGUAAUCCUGCACACACAGAAGUCAGAAGGAAUAAAGUUUAACAUGAGCAGGAAGCUACACCAAUGUUAACUUGUGGCCACCAGCACAUCAGCAAUGUCUGACUAUUUCUCAUCAAGUUUGUAUACAUCUAAUCGUGUCAUAGAAUCAGAAACUCUAUGACACAGAGUGACAGAAAACUGUAGCUACAAAUCACUACAUUGGCUCAAGACAUCAACAUACUACAGAGUUCAACCCUUCUGAUUUUCCAUAAUGUCAGAAAAACUGGCUCUCCCUUUUCUCCCCCCAGUUUGUUUUUUUCCAAAAUUUGUGUAUAGGAUCUUACAACUUCAUGUUAAAAGAAUACUUAAAUUUCAAGUUAGUCCCUGCUGCCUAGGUGGUACUUUCCACACGGGCUGCAUACUCUGUAUACAUCCCUCAAUACGCAGAACUGACAGCAUUCAAUGAAAAAUUAUUAUGUUACCUUCAUUACUCUGGGCACUACAGCUCCCAGCACAGCACUCAAGGCUCAGCUCUCCUAAGGACAGGUUUGUAUAAGAGCGUUCCACAAUGUUUCCCAUAAUACCACUCCACAUAAGACAACAUGGUUGUCACGAAACAAAGGUGAUCAAGAUACAUAGCGUCAAGCUCCAACACAUAAACAACUGUGUAUCUGCAAAGGAUUGGAUUCUAGGCACCUAGCAUUUACAGUGAAUUUCAUACAUUGUAACUUCCAUUCCACUGAGCUUCAAGAAAGACACCAGCACUUCUGGAGAAAAAAAAUAAGCUCAAUUUCAAGUAAAGCAUACAUGAAGUGCAGACAAUUAACAGCCACCUGUAAAAAUAUAGUCUUGGUAUCUUGUUUCAUGUCCCAUGGGAAAAAGUGCAGACACCAAAAUCUUUUAGUAGGACAUUAACC